AGCGAACGCUGGCGGCAGGCUUAACACAUGCAAGUCGAGCGGGCACUUCGGUGUCAGCGGCAGACGGGUGAGUAACGCGUGGGAACAUACCUUUUGGUUCGGAACAACACAGGGAAACUUGUGCUAAUACCGGAUAAGCCCUUACGGGGAAAGAUUUAUCGCCGAAAGAUUGGCCCGCGUCUGAUUAGCUUGUUGGUGAGGUAACGGCUCACCAAGGCGACGAUCAGUAGCUGGUCNGAGAGGAUGAUCAGCCACAUUGGGACUGAGACACGGCCCAAACUCCUACGGGAGGCAGCGGGUGGGGAAUAUUGGACAAUGGGCGCAAGCCUGAUCCAGCCAUGCCGCGUGAGUGAUGAAGGCCUAGGG
rnacentral:rRNA from 1 species